UACGGAGGGUCCAAGCGUUAUCCGGAUUUAUUGGGUUUAAAGGGUCCGUAGGCGGGGUUUUAAGUCAGUGGUGAAAGCCUACAGCUCAACUGUAGAACUGCCAUUGAAACUGGAACUCUUGAAUGUGAUUGAGGUAGGCGGAAUAUGUCAUGUAGCGGUGAAAUGCUUAGAUAUGACAUAGAACACCGAUAGCGAAGGCAGCUUACCAAGUCAUUAUUGACGCUGAUGGACGAAAGCGUGGGGAGCGAACAGG
rnacentral:rRNA from 1 species